UACGUAGGGUGCGAGCGUUGUCCGGAAUUAUUGGGCGUAAAGAGCUCGUAGGCGGUUUGUUGCGUCUAUCGUGAAAACCUGCGGCUUAACUGUGGGCUUGCGGUGGAUACGGGCAGACUUGAGUUCGGUAGGGGAGACUGGAAUUCCUGGUGUAGCGGUGAAAUGCGCAGAUAUCAGGAGGAACACCGGUGGCGAAGGCGGGUCUCUGGGCCGAUACUGACGCUGAGGAGCGAAAGCGUGGGUAGCGAACAGG
rnacentral:rRNA from 1 species